UCCGCUUUACAGCGGCAGUCUCGCUAGAGUACUGGCUUGCGCCGAGCAACUAACGACAGGGGUUGCGCUCGUUAAGGGACUUAACCCGACACUUCACAGCACGAGCUGACGACAGCCAUGCAGCACCUGUGACCGUUCCACCCUUGCGGGUGUCAUUACCGUUUCCGGUAACUAAUCCGGCCAUGUCAAGCCCAGGUAAGGUUCUUCGCGUUGCAUCGAAUUAAGCAACAUGCUCCACCGCUUGUGUGAGCCCCCGUCAAUUCCUUUGAGUUUUAGCCUUGCGACCGUACUCCCCAGGCGGCGCACUUAUCGUUUUUACUCCGACCGAUCCGGCGUCAGAGCCGCACCGAUCUAGUGCGCAUCGUUUACGGCGUGGACUAC
rnacentral:misc_RNA from 1 species